rnacentral:misc_RNA from 1 species
AAGUCGUAACAAGGUCUCCGUAGGUGAACCUGCGGAGGGAUCAUUACCGAGUUCAUGCCCUUCGGGGUAGACCUCCCACCCGUGUAUUCCUACUCUUGUUGCUUUGGCAGGCCGCUCGGCUUCGGCCAGGCUGUUGGCUCCGGCUAGCACGCGCCUGCCAGAGGAUCUCAACUCUGAAUGUCGGUGUCGUCUGAGUACUAUAUAAUAGUUAAA